rnacentral:lncRNA from 1 species
AGGGGCUGUAGUAGAGGAGUGCAGGGCUGCUAUUAGGUGGAAUGGGACUGUAGUUUGGCAUGGAGGCUGCAAUUGGGGGAAUGGCAUUGUAGUGGGGCAUAGAGGUUGCAAUAUGGGUUGCCUUCCAGCUAUGUCUCUUCCACACAUGUAUCCUUCCCCCUUCCAUCCAUGUCUCCCUCCCUCCCAACCAUGUAUCCCAACCCCUCCUUCUAUCUAUGUCUCACCCCCAUCCCUGUCUCCCAACCAUGUAUCCGUCCCCCCUCCCAUCUAUAUCUCCCUCCCCAUUCCAUUCAGGUCUCUUCCACUUUACCAUUCAUGUCCCCCCCCCAUGUCUCCCAACCUAUUCCUCCCAUCCAUGUCUCUUCCCCCCAGAAUGAGUAGUCACGUGACAAUCGGCACUCCUCGCUCUAAAAAAACCCAAUAGAUUUCUGGGAUAUUAUAUAGACUCCGUGGGCGUCUCUAUUUAUGUAUCAGUCCUGAUUGUUAAAUUCAUCAUAUGUUUAGGAUCUAAAUGAACUUUUAGUAGUCGAUGAUAACCCUAUACCAGCCCAACCCAACCUUACCUCUAGCGCUAUGCUUACACUAACUCUAACUGUACACCUAUCCUAGCCUAAACCUUAACCUUAUCAAAUACUAUCCCUAACCCUAAAACAAUAUUAACCGUAACACAAUAUUAACCCUUAUUGUAGCCUAACACUAACCUACUCUGACCUUAAACCUAACUGUAACCAUAACUCUACCCAAACACGAACCCUAACUCAAUACUGAAAUCAGCAAAGGGAUUUCCUAGCUGAAAGAGUAGAAAAUGGUCUAUGAGCUCCAUCUACUGGAUGAUUGCAGCAUGAGUGGCAGAUCUCCCUCUCAUGCCACAACUCCGGCAUGCUGUUCCUGCUAAUUACACUGUGAUCGGUGCUGGGCAGCUGGCAAAUAUCCGUGCUAGUCAUAGGGUGAAUGUGCCGGUAGACCCUCUCAGAGCCUUUUCAAGCCCUGAAGAUCUCCCUCAAACGUGGGGAAAGCGUUAACUCACCACAGCUGAGUGUGAUCACUUUGAGCGCUGCAUACAGCUCAUUUAUCUAUCUUGGGUCACUAGGUAAGGCCUUAGCUGACAAAAGGAAGCCCCAGACAUCGAUUCAUAUAUUAAGAAAUUCUAUCCCAGGGGUAGGCAGCCUUUGGCACUCCAAUACCAUUCCAAUGGUGUUAAAGUCUACUCUGUGGUAUCACACCACCAAAUUACACUGAGCUAACACCAAGGAGUGAAGAUAUGUUGCAGAUGAUAUAGCAAACAUUGAGAAGUGGAAAUGAAGCUCAGUAGCAGGAAAGGUAACAGUAUACUUAUUCACCUUACAACGAAAAAUACAUUUCUUUUUUUUAUACUGCUUAUUAAUCAAUUUGGGAGUAACUAACAAAGGAAUUCCGCAUUUGAAAUUAAAAUUACAGCUUUACAGUAACACACACACACAAAAUAAUAUUCAAUUUGCAAUUAAGCUUUGGUUUACAUAGCAUACAUAUGCUUUAAAAAGAAGCAUAAGCAGUCUCUAAUUUAAAGUUUAAACAAAAAAUGUACCAGUUCCCAGACGUAUCUUGUUAUCAGUUGUCUGCUCAGGAGUGUAGCAAACGGGCGAUCAGUCACUUUCCCUGAUAGCUAUGUGUGUUUUAAUUCUGUAGCAUUGUUCUGUAUCACGGGCAAAGACAUGCAUUGUACAAGAGUUACGUCACUUACGAUUGUGAGAAAAAAAAAUUACCAAGAAAAAUAAAAAUGCAAAGUAAUGUUCCAG